GACGAACGCUGGCGGCGUGCUUAACACAUGCAAGUCGAACGGAAAGGCCCUGCUUUUGUGGGGUGCUCGAGUGGCGAACGGGUGAGUAACACGUGAGUAACCUGCCCUUGACUUUGGGAUAACUUCAGGAAACUGGGGCUAAUACCGGAUAGGAGCUCCUGCUGCAUGGUGGGGGUUGGAAAGUUUCGGCGGUUGGGGAUGGACUCGCGGCGUAUCAGCUAGUUGGUGAGGUAGUGGCUUACCAAGGCUUUGACGGGUAGCCGGCCUGAGAGGGUGACCGGCCACAGUGGAACGGCGACAGGGGCCAGACGCCGACGGGAGGCAGCAGUAGGGAAUCUUACGCAAGGGGCGAAAGCCUGACGGAGAAACGGGGCGUGGGGGAGGAAGGUCUUCGGAUCGUAAAACGCUGUUAUGAGGGAAGAACAAAUGUGUAAGUAACUAUGCACGUCUUGACGGUACCGAAUCAGAAAGCCACGGCUAACUACGUG
rnacentral:rRNA from 1 species